rnacentral:rRNA from 1 species
GUUGUUAUAUUUCUUGUUUGUUAUCUAACGGGUUUGUAUAUAUAUAUGAAAAAUAAUUUUAGAUUGAAGUAAUAUUUAAUGAAAUAUAUUUUGGACUAUAGCGCAAAAGUACUGUAAAGGAAAGAAUAAUUUGAGAGAAUGUAGAUAGUAAGUUUGAAUAACUGUACCUUUUGUAUUAGGGAAAAUCUAUAUAUGCUAGUUAAUCUAGUUAUCCCGAAAUAAAAACAGUUAAUUUUAUUAAAGUUGUUUUUUGUGGAAUAAAGAUGUCGAAUAUUAAAGUUAAAGAUGAAACGUCAAUCGAGUUUUAUAAUAUCUGGUUUUCUUAAAUAUAAAUUUAAUUUAGACUUUGGUUAAAUAAUAUAUAAAGUUUAAGUGUAGGAGGGAAUAGCUUUUUACAUAAAUUAAUUUGAAGAGUAAAAUAAUGAAAAUUUAUUUAAAUUAGGCUUAAAAGUAGUCGUAUUAAUAAAGUGUUUUAACUAAGUAUGAAGAAUAAAAAUAUUUAUGUUUACUUUUAUAGGGUAUAAGAAAAUUGGUUUAAAUGGAAAAGAUUAAGAUAAAAUGAUUUUAUUAGUAAAAUGUAUUGUAAAAAUUAAUAAUAUAAUGAUAAAGAAAGUUUAAUGAAAGUAUGGAAAUAUAAAGGAAUUCGGCAAAUAUUUUUUCUUGCCUGUUUAUCAAAAACAUGUCUGUUUGAAGGUAUAAAGAGUCUGACCUGCCCACUGAUGAAUUUUAAAGGGCCGCGGUAUCUUGACCGUGCAAAGGUAGCAUAAUCGUUAGGUUUUUAAUUGAGAUCUUGUAUGAAUGGUUUGACAAAGAAAAAUCUGUCUUUAUAUUUGAUGUUUGAAUUUAACUUUUGAGUGAAAAGGCUCAAAUAAAUUGAAGGGACGAUAAGACCCUAUAAAACUUUAUAUAAAAUUUUUGUUAAGUUGAAGUUAAUAUAGUAAGAGCUCAGGGAGAAUUUAUAUUAUGUUGGGGUGACAGAUAUAAAAUGGUUAGUAACUGUAGAAAAAAUUAAUACAAAUAUAGAUGGAUUAAAUUAAAUGAUCCUAAUUAAAGAUUAAAAGUUUAAGUUACUUUAGGGAUAACAGCGUUAUUUUUUUUGAGAGUUCUUAUCGAAAAUAAAGUUUGCGACCUCGAUGUUGAAUUAAAAUUUCUG